rnacentral:rRNA from 1 species
UGCAGUCGAACGCGAAAGCACCUUCGGGUGUGAGUAGAGUGGCGGACGGGUGAGUAAUACUUGGGAAUCUGCCUAGUAGUGGGGGAUAACUCGGGGAAACUCGAGCUAAUACCGCAUACGCCCUACGGGGGAAAGAUUUAUCGCUAUUAGAUGAGCCCAAGUCAGAUUAGCUAGUUGGUAGGGUAAUGGCCUACCAAGGCGACGAUCUGUAGCUGGUCUGAGAGGACGAACAGCCACACUGGGACUGAGACACGGCCCAGACUCCUACGGGAGGCAGCAGUGGGGAAUAUUGGACCAUGGGCGAAAGCCUGAUCCAGCAAUGCCGCGUGUGUGAAGAAGGCCUGCGGGUUGUAAGCACUUUCAGUUGGGAAGAUUAUGACGUUACCAACAGAAGAAGCACCGGCUAACUCCGUGCCAGCAGCCGCGGUAAUACG